AUUGAACGCUGGCGGCAUGCCUUACACAUGCAAGUCGAACGGCAGCACGGGAGCAAUCCUGGUGGCGAGUGGCGAACGGGUGAGUAAUAUAUCGGAACGUGCCCAGUCGUGGGGGAUAACGCAGCGAAAGCUGUGCUAAUACCGCAUACGAUCUAUGAAUGAAAGCGGGGGAUCGCAAGACCUCGCGCGAUUGGAGCGGCCGAUAUCAGAUUAGAUAGUUGGUGAGGUAAAGGCUCACCAAGGCGACGAUCUGUAGCUGGUCUGAGAGGACGAACAGCCACACUGGAACUGAGACACGGUCCAGACUCCUACGGGAGGCAGCAGUGGGGAAUUUUGGACAAUGGGCGAAAGCCUGAUCCAGCAAUGCCGCGUGCAGGAUGAAGGCCUUCGGGUUGUAAACUGCUUUUGUACGGAACGAAACGGUGAGCUCUAAUACAGUUUGCUAAUGACGGUACCGUAAGAAUAAGCACCGGCUAACUACGUGCCAGCCGCCGCCGUAA
rnacentral:rRNA from 1 species